rnacentral:rRNA from 1 species
GUAGGUGGCAAGCGUUGUCCGGAAUUAUUGGGCGUAAAGCGCGCGCAGGCGGUUCUUUAAGUCUGAUGCGAAAGCCCACGGCUCAACCGUGGAGGGUCAUUGGAAACUGGAGAACUUGAGUACAGAAGAGGAAAGCGGAAUUCCACGUGUAGCGGUGAAAUGCGUAGAGAUGUGGAGGAACACCAGUGGCGAAGGCGGCUUUCUGGUCUGUAACUGACGCUGAGGCGCGAAAGCAUGGGGGGAGCAAACAGGAUUAGAUACCCUGGUAGUCCACGCCGUAAACGAUGAGUGCUAAGUGUUAGGGGGUUUCCGCCCCUUAGUGCUGCAGCUAACGCAUUAAGCACUCCGCCUGGGAGUACGGCCGCAAGGCUG